rnacentral:lncRNA from 1 species
UGUAGAUUUGGGAUAUCUUUACCUAAUCUUUUGAGAAUCCUUUAUAUAAGUUUUAUACAAAAAUGCUGGUUUUAUUCCUUUAUAAAUUUUCUAGGAAUGCGUCAGGUACCUGGAUAAUGAUCCAAAAAUUUGUUUGCAAGAAACAAAA